GAGCACGUAGGUGGGUUUGUAAGUCAGGUGUGAAAGCCUUCUGUUCAACGGAAGAAUUGCAUCUGAAACUGCGAGUCUUGAGUGUAGGAGGGGAGAAUGGAACUUCUGGUGGAGCGGUGAAAUGCGUAGAUAUCAGAAGGAACGCCGGCGGCGAAAGCGAUUCUCUGGCCUAUUACUGACACUCAGUGUGCGAAAGCUAGGGGAGCAAACGGGAUUAGAUACCCCGGUAGUCCUAGCCGUAAACGAUGGGCACUAAGUAGAGGGAAUUACCGAUGUUCUCUCUGCCGUAGCUAACGCAUUAAGUGCCCCGCCUGGGGAGUACGGCCGCAAGGCUAAAGCUCAAAAGAAUUGACGGGGGCUCGCACAAGCGGUGGAGCAUGUGGCUUAAUUCGAUGCAACGCGAAAAACCUUACCGGGGCUUGACAUGGUAGAAGUAGGAACCCGAAAGGGUAACGAACGGUAUCCAGUCCGUAGCUAUUACAGGUGUUGCAUGGCUGUCGUCAGCUCGUGUCGUGAGACGUUGGAUUAAGUCCCCUAACGAGCGAAACCCUUGUUUUUAGUUACCAGCGGGUUAUGCCGGGUACUCUAGAAAGACUGCCGUCGUCAAGACGGAGGAAGGUGGGGAUGACGUCAAGUCAUCAUGGCCCUUAUGCCCCGGGCUGCACACGUGCUACAAUGGUCGGUACAAACGGAUGCGAAGCCGAGAGGUGAAGCGAAUCC
rnacentral:rRNA from 1 species